UGAAGGUUCGGGGCAGGAAGAGGGAGCUGUGGCCCCUUGGGCCAGCUCUCAGGCACAGGGACUGCUCCACUGUCCUCCGGGUCAGGGCCUCUGUCCUGAGGCCUGUUCCCUUCUUCUCAGGCCGCCAGGCUCUGUGCGCCCCGCCCUGCACUCCUCCCUCGCAGGGAGGAGGAACAAAGCGCACAGCCCCAGCUCUGAGCCCGGCCAGGCAUCAGGCUCAUCUGGCCGCCAGCUUUGGCCCCAACUGCGGCGUCCCUGGGAGAGGCAGCGCCAUCCUUAGGGGGCCCUGUCCUGUUUCGGGUGCCGUCCCGGCCUGGUGGUAUGGAUUUCUGCUGUAAACACAGCCCAUAUGGGAGAAGCCCAGGUGCCUCGAUCCAUGCUCUCCGAAACUUAAAGCUCAGAAGGCUUUGAAAUGCAAAUAUUUUGAAGGAAACAUAAGUAUAUGGGAAGAUUUCCUCUGCUGCACCCUUCCACCAUGAUGGUUCUGCCUUGCCACAGGCCUAAAAGUAAUGAAGCCAACUGACCAUGGACUGAAACCUCUGAAACAGUGAGCCAAAAUAAAUCUCUC
ensembl:lncRNA